rnacentral:rRNA from 1 species
CCUACGGGGGGCAGCAGUGAGGAAUAUUGGUCAAUGGGCGCGAGCCUGAACCAGCCAAGUCGCGUGAGGGAGGACGGCCCUACGGGUUGUAAACCUCUUUUGCCGGGGAGCAACGGGCGUCACGUGUGGCGCCACUGAGAGUACCCGGAGAAAAAGCAUCGGCUAACUCCGUGCCAGCAGCCGCGGUAAUACGGAGGAUGCGAGCGUUAUCCGGAUUUAUUGGGUUUAAAGGGUGCGUAGGCGGAUCGUUAAGUCAGUGGUCAAAUUGAGGGGCUCAACCCCUUCCCGCCAUUGAAACUGGUUGACUGGAGUAUAUUUGAGGUAGGCGGAAUGCGUGGUGUAGCGGUGAAAUGCAUAGAUAUCACGCAGAACUCCGAUUGCGAAGGCAGCUUACUAAACUAUAACUGACACUGAAGCACGAAAGCGUGGGGAUCAAACAGGAUUAGAUACCCCGGUAGUC